ensembl:misc_RNA Metazoa_SRP Metazoan signal recognition particle RNA
GCUGGGUGUGGUGGCGGGCACCUGUAAUCCCAGCUACUUAGGAGGCUGAAGCAGGAGAAUUGCUUGAACUCGGGAGGCGGAGGUUGCAGUGAGCUGAGAUCGUGCCACUGCACUCCAGCCUGGGUGACAGAGCAAGACUCUGUCUCAA